AUUGAACGCUGGCGGCAUGCCUUACACAUGCAAGUCGAACGGCAGCACGGGAGCAAUCCUGGUGGCGAGUGGCGAACGGGUGAGUAAUACAUCGGAACGUGCCCUGUAGUGGGGGAUAACUAGUCGAAAGACUAGCUAAUACCGCAUACGACCUGAGGGUGAAAGUGGGGGACCGCAAGGCCUCAUGCUAUAGGAGCGGCCGAUGUCUGAUUAGCUAGUUGGUGGGGUCAAGGCCUACCAAGGCGACGAUCAGUAGCUGGUCUGAGAGGACGAUCAGCCACCCUGGGACUGAGACACGGCCCAGACGCCUACGGGAGGCAGCAGUGGGUAAUUUUGGACAAUGGGCGAAAGCCUGAUCCAGCGAUGCCGCGUGUGUGAAGAAGGCCUUCGGGUUGUAAAGCACUUUUGUCCGGAAAGAAAUGGCUCUGGUUAAUACCUGGGGUCGAUGACGGUACCGGAAGAAUAGGGACCGGCUAACUACGUGCCAGCAGCCGCCGUAAGAC
rnacentral:rRNA from 1 species